GCUCUGUGGUCGAACUGUCUCCGGAUGGAGCGCGUGCCUGCUUCUGGCAGGAUAGACCACAGAGCUAUU
rnacentral:sRNA from 12 species